rnacentral:rRNA from 1 species
GCCCGUCACACCAUGAGAGUCGAUAACACCCGAAGCCUGUGAGCUAACCGCAAGGGGGCAGCAGUCGAAGGUGGGGUUGAUGAUUGGGGUGAAGUCGUAACAAGGUAAC